rnacentral:rRNA from 1 species
UAGGGAAUCUUCCGCAAUGGGCGAAAGCCUGACGGAGCAACGCCGCGUGAGUGAUGAAGGUCUUCGGAUUGUAAAACUCUGUUAUUAGGGAAGAACAAACGUGUAAGUAACUGUGCACGUCUUGACGGUACCUAAUCAGAAAGCCACGGCUAACUACGUGCCAGCAGCCGCGGUAAUACGUAGGUGGCAAGCGUUAUCCGGAAUUAUUGGGCGUAAAGCGCGCGUAGGCGGUUUUUUAAGUCUGAUGGGAAAGCCCACGGCUCAACCGUGUAGGGUCAUUGGAAACUGGAAAACUUGAGUGCAGAAGAGGAAAGUGGAAUUCCAUGUGUAGCGGUGAAAUGCGCAGAGAUAUGGAGGAACACCAGUGGCGAAGGCGACUUUCUCGUCUGUAACUGACGCUGAUGUGCGAAAGCGUGGGGAUCAAACA